rnacentral:lncRNA from 1 species
AAAAGGAAAUGCUUCAGAACACUGUAACAGAAAUAAAGAAUGCCUUUGAUGGGCUGUUAGUAGACUGGACACAGCUGAGGAAAGAAUCUCUGAGCUAGAGGACAUAGCCAAUAGAAACCUCCCAAACUGAAAAGCAAUGACAACAAAGACUGAAAUAAAACAGAAAAGAAUACCCCAGGACUGUGGGAUAACUACUGAAGUUGUAACAUAUGUGUAAUGGGAAUUCCAGAAGGAGAAGAAAGAGAGAAAUGAAUGGAAGAAAUACUUGAAACAACAAUAACUGAGAAUUUCCCCAAAUUGAUGGCAGACACCAAACCACGGAUCCAGGAAGCUCAGAGAACACAAAGCAGGAUAAAUUAAAAAACAAAACAAAACAAAACAAUGACACCUAGGCAUAGCAUUUUCAAACUAUAGAUAAUCAAAGAUAAGGGAAAAAAUCCUGAAAGAAGCCAGAGGAAAGAAACACCUUACACCUGACUUCUCAGAAACCAUGCAAGCAAGAGAAGGAGUGAAACAUUUAAAGUGUUGAGAGAAAAAACUCACCAAUCUAGAAUUCUGUAUUCCACAAAAUUAUCCUUCCAAAAUGGAGAAAUAAAAAAAUAUUGAGGAAAUCUGUUGCCAGUAGACCUGCCUUGCGAGAAAUAUUAAAAGAAGUUCUUUAGAGAGAAGGAAAAAUAAAAUAGGUCAGAAACCUGUAUCUACAUAUAUAAAGGAAGAGCACUGAAAAAGGAAUAAACAAAGAGAUUGGCUGGGGGUUCAUCAAACUGAUCCAUUUCCCGAACUGCGAGCAGAAGUGAGGUGAGCCAGCUCCAGUCUCCUCUCCGGUCUGUCACCACCACCCUGAAGCUUCAUGUUGAAGACGAAGGGCCGCACAGAAGGGGUCCCGGUCCGAGUCACUGCUCAGGGGAGAGCUGCCCGAUGAUCAAGAAUAUCUGUUUGGACGUGAGCGAGUUUGGGCUAUGCAACAGGUCCUGACCUGGCCUGUUAAGUAUGCAUUGGACAUCUGCUUUAAACAUUCACAUGUCCCAAGGCCAAGAAUGAUGCCCUUAACGACAGGGACGUAGCUUUCCGACCUCCAUAUCGGCAUUUCCUUAAGGAUAAGCAUCUCUUCCUGGAAACUGAGGAUUAAUUACCGACCUGCUGUGCUCACCUUGUGACCUCUGACCUGCUGUGCUGUGACUGUUGUAAAAGAGAUAUUCCUGUGAUAUGUGAUGUCUGCUCUUUGCUUCAAGACGAUAUAUAACCGCUCUGUACACCCCACUUCUUGGGCGUUUUUCCUUAUAAAUCAAGGAUUAUGGAUUAUUUGUAUCGACAAUAGUAAUUACACUGCAA